CCUACGGGAGGCAGCAGUGGGGGAUAUUGCGCAAUGGGCGAAAGCCUGACGCAGCGACGCCGCGUGGGUGAUGAAGGCCUUCGGGUCGUAAAGCCCUGUCGAGGGGAACGAAACGAUUGCGACCUAACACGUCGCAGUCCUGACGGUACCCCUAAAGGAAGCACCGGCUAACCCCGUGCCAGCAGCCGCGGUAAUACGGAGGGUGCGAGCGUUGUUCGGAAUCACUGGGCGUAAAGGGCGUGUAGGCGGUCCGCUAAGUCUGAUGUGAAAGCCCGGGGCUCACCCCCGGAAGGGCAUUGGAAACUGACGGACUGGAGUCCCGGAGAGGAGAGUGGAAUUCCUGGUGUAGCGGUGAAAUGCGUAGAUAUCAGGAGGAACACCGGUGGCGAAGGCGGCUCUCUGGACGGUGACUGACGCUGAGACGCGAAAGCGUGGGGAGCAAACAGGAUUAGAUACCCUGGUAGUCCACGCUGUAAACGAUGAGCACUAGGUGUCGUGGGUAUUGACCCCCGCGGUGCCGCAGCUAACGCAUUAAGUGCUCCGCCUGGGGACUACGGCCGCAAGGUUAAAACUCAAAGGAAUUGACGG
rnacentral:rRNA from 1 species